GAUGAAGAACGUAGCGAAAUGCGAUAAGUAAUGUGAAUUGCAGAAUUCAGUGAAUCAUCGAAUCUUUGAACGCACAUUGCGCCCCCUGGUAUUCCGGGGGGCAUGCCUGUUCGAGCGUCAUUACAACCCUCAAGCUCUGCUUGGUAUUGGGCCCCGCCAGUUCUGGCGGGCCCUAAAGUCAGUGGCGGUGCCUUCCGGCUCCGAGCGUAGUAAUUCUUCUCGCUCUGGAGACCCGGUUGUGUGCUUGCCAACAACCAGCAAUUUUUUAAGGUUGACCUCGGAUCAGGUAGGGAUACCCGCUGAACUUAAGCAUAUCAAUAAGCGGAGGA
rnacentral:misc_RNA from 1 species